UUCAGAAUGCAGCAUGUGAAAGGAGGAGCUGAAAUGGGUCUGAUGUCAUUUCCUUCAUCUGGUCCUCAGCAGGAUGCUUUUGUAGCAGUCUCUGGUCCUCAUCCCCUCUCUUGCCAUUAUUAUGAAUCAAUAUGAUUAGUGUUAUCAUCUUCCUGCCUUUCUUGCUUCUCUGGACUCCAGUUUUAACAGGAGAGAAUGGGGUCACCCAAAGCCCGAGUGUUGCCUGGCAUCUGAAAGGAGAAUCUGCUGAAAUGAAGUGCAGUCAUAAUAAAGGUGCUGAAUAUUAUCAAAUGUACUGGUACAGACAGCGCCAAGGAGAGAGUAUGGAGCUCAUCGUGUACACCACAGCCAGUAGUGAACCAGACUUUGGCUCAGUUGAUAAAAAUAAAUUUUCUACUGUUAAAAAAUUAGCUACAAAUGGAUCUCUAACUGUGAAGGAUCUGGAUACAGAGGACAGCGCUGUAUAUUUCUGUGCAGUAAGAGAACACAACGUUACAGUUCACCUGCACUGCUGAACAAAAACACCUGCACUGAUAUUACUGCAAUAACUAAUACAACAGACAGAGGGAGUCCUCUUCUAUUUUCUUUUUUUCUGCACAUCACCUUUACUCAUACUGU